rnacentral:rRNA from 1 species
UACGCAGGGGGCUAGCGUUGUUCGGAAUCACUGGGCGUAAAGCGCACGCAGGCGGAUCGUUAAGUCAGGGGUGAAAUCCCGAGGCUCAACCUCGGAACUGCCUUUGAUACUGGCGAUCUUUGAGUCCGGGAGAGGUGAGUGGAACUCCGAGUGUAGAGGUGAAAUUCGUAGAUAUUCGGAAGAACACCAGUGGCGAAGGCGGCUCACUGGCCCGGUACUGACGCUCAUGUGCGAAAGCGUGGGGAGCAAACAGG